rnacentral:rRNA from 1 species
AGGUUAAGUUAACAAGGGCGCAUGGUGAAUGCCUUGGCACUAGGAGCCGAUGAAGGACGGGACUAACACCGAUAUGCUUCGGGGAGCUGUACGUAAGCUAUGAUCCGGAGAUUUCCGAAUGGGGCAACCCAGCAGUUUUAAUCAACUGUUACCACUAGAUGAAUUCAUAGUCUAGUUGGAGGUAAACGCUGUGAACUGAAACAUCUCAUUAGCAGCAGGAAUAUAAAGAAAUUUCGAUUCCCUAAGUAGCGGCGAGCGAACGGGGAACAGCCCAAACCAAAGUGCUUGCACUUUGGGGUUGUAGGACUGAACAUUUGAGUUACCAAAGAACUUGAUAGUCGAAGGAUUUGGGAAAAUCCGCCAUAGAUGGUGAUAGCCCAGUAGAUUAAAUCAAAUUCUCUCAGUUCAGGAUCCUGAGUACGGCGGAACACGUGAAAUUCCGUCGGAAUCCGGGAGGACCAUCUCCCAAGGCUAAAUACUACCUAGUGACCGAUAGUGAACCAGUACCGUGAGGGAAAGGUGAAAAGCACCCCGGGAGGGGAGUGAAAUAGUUCCUGAAACCAUGUGCCUACAAUAAGUCAGAGCGCGUUAAUGCGUGAUGGCGUGCCUUUUGUAGAAUGAACCGGCGAGUUAUGAUCCCGUGCAAGGUUAAGACUAAAAAGUCGGAGCCGUAGCGAAAGCGAGUCUGAAAUGGGCGUUUUGAGUACGAGGUUAUAGACCCGAAACCAGGUGACCUAUCCAUGUCCAGGUUGAAGGUGCGGUAAAACGCACUGGAGGACCGAACCCGUGUAAGUUGAAAAUUGCUGGGAUGAGGUGUGGAUAGCGGUGAAAUUCCAAACGAACUUGGAGAUAGCUGGUUCUCUCCGAAAUAGCUUUAGGGCUAGCCUCGGAAUUAGGAUCAUGGAGGUAGAGCACUAUUUGGACUAGGGGCCCGUCUUGGGUUACUGAAUUCAGAUAAACUCCGAAUGCCAUUGAUUCAUAUCCGGGAGUCAGACGAUGAGUGAUAAGAUCCACCGUCGAAAGGGGAACAGCCCAGACCAUCAGUUAAGGUCCCUAAAUGUAUGCUAAGUGGAAAAGGAUGUGGAGUUGCAUAGACAACUAGGAUGUUGGCUCAGAAGCAGCCACCAUUUAAAGAGUGCGUAAUAGCUCACUAGUCGAGUGAUCCUGCGCCGAAAAUGUACCGGGGCUAAGCAUACUACCGAAACCAUGGAUGCGACCAUUAGGUCGCGUGAUAGGAGAGCGUUCUAAGGGCGGUGAAGCAAGAUCGUGAGGACUUGUGGAGCGCUUAGAAGUGAGAAUGCCGGUAUGAGUAGCGAAAGAUAGGUGAGAAUCCUAUCCACCGAAUGACUAAGGUUUCCUGGGGAAGGCUCGUCCUCCCAGGGUUAGUCGGGACCUAAGUCGAGGCCGAGAGGCGUAGACGAUGGAUAACAGGUUGAGAUUCCUGUACUAGUUAAGUGCGUUUGAGCAAUGGAGGGACGCAGGAGGCUAAGAUGUGCAUUCUGUUGGAUUAGAAUGUCCAAGCAGUAAGUCUUGUGAAGAGUCAAAUGCUUUUCACUUUAAGGACAAGCUGUGAUGGGGAGCGAAAUUUAGUAGCGAAGCGUCUGAUGUCACACUGCCGAGAAAAGCUUCUAGUGAGUACUUAACUACCCGUACCGCAAACCGACACAGGUAGUCGAGGAGAGAAUCCUAAGGUGAGCGAGUGAACUCUCGUUAAGGAACUCGGCAAAAUGACCCCGUAACUUCGGGAGAAGGGGUGCUGAUCGCAAGAUCAGCCGCAGUGAAUAGGCCCAGGCGACUGUUUAUCAAAAACACAGGUCUCUGCAAAAUCGUAAGAUGACGUAUAGGGGCUGACGCCUGCCCGGUGCUGGAAGGUUAAAAGGAUGGGUUAGCUUCGGCGAAGCUCAGAAUUGAAGCCCCAGUAAACGGCGGCCGUAACUAUAACGGUCCUAAGGUAGCGAAAUUCCUUGUCGGGUAAGUUCCGACCCGCACGAAAGGCGUAACGAUCUGGGCACUGUCUCAACGAGAGACUCGGUGAAAUUAUAUUGUCCGUGAAGAUGCGGACUACCCGCGACAGGACGGAAAGACCCCAUGGAGCUUUACUGUAGCUUGAUAUUGAGUGUUUGUACAGCUUGUACAGGAUAGGUAGGAGCCAUAGAAACCGGAACGCUAGUUUCGGUGGAGGCGUUGGUGGGAUACUACCCUCGCUGUAUGACCACUCUAACCCGCACCACUAAUCGUGGUGGGAGACAGUGUCAGGUGGGCAGUUUGACUGGGGCGGUCGCCUCCUAAAAAGUAACGGAGGCGCCCAAAGGUUCCCUCAGAAUGGUUGGAAAUCAUUCGCAGAGUGUAAAGGCACAAGGGAGCUUGACUGCGAGACAGACAGGUCGAGCAGGGACGAAAGUCGGGCUUAGUGAUCCGGUGGUACCGUAUGGAAGGGCCAUCGCUCAACGGAUAAAAGCUACCCUGGGGAUAACAGGCUUAUCUCCCCAAGAGUCCACAUCGACGGGGAGGUUUGGCACCUCGAUGUCGGCUCAUCGCAUCCUGGGGCUGUAGUCGGUCCCAAGGGUUGGGCUGUUCGCCCAUUAAAGCGGUACGCGAGCUGGGUUCAGAACGUCGUGAGACAGUUCGGUCCCUAUCCGUCGCGGGCGUAGGAAAUUUGAGAGGACCUGUCCUUAGUACGAGAGGACCGGGAUGGACAUACCUCUGGUGUACCAGUUGUGCCGCCAGGCGCAUCGCUGGGUAGCUACGUAUGGAUGUGAUAAACGCUGAAAGCAUCUAAGUGUGAAACACACCUCGAGAUGAGAUUUCCCAUUCCUUUAUGGAAGUAAGAUCCCUGAAAGAUGAUCAGGUAGAUAGGUUAGAAGUGGCAGUGCGGUGACGCAUGAAGCGGACUAAUACUAAUCGGUCGAGGACUUAACCAAG